rnacentral:rRNA from 1 species
GCCAAAUACGGGCGAGAGGCGGGAGAAAGACGGAGGAUCCAAGCGGUAUCCGGAAUCAUUGGGUGUAAAGGGGCCGUAGGCGGUCGUAUAAGUAAGUGGUGAAAGCACAUCGCUCAACGAUGGAACUGCCAUUGAUACUGUAAGACUUGAAUGCUUAGGAAGUAACUAGAAUAUGUAGUGUAGCGGUGAAAUGCUUAGAUAUUACAUGGAAUACCAAUUGCGAAGGCAGGUUACUACUAAGUGAUUGACGCUGAUGGACGAAAGCGUGGGGAGCGAACAGGAUUAGAUACCCGGGUAGUC